ACAAUGAAGAGUUUGAUCCUGGCUCAGGAUGAACGCUAGCUACAGGCUUAACACAUGCAAGUCGAGGGGCAGCAUUUUAGUUUGCUUGCAAACUGAAGAUGGCGACCGGCGCACGGGUGAGUAACACGUAUCCAACCUGCCGAUAACUCCGGAAUAGCCUUUCGAAAGAAAGAUUAAUACCGGAUAGCAUACGAAUAUCGCAUGAUAUUUUUAUUAAAGAAUUUCGGUUAUCGAUGGGGAUGCGUUCCAUUAGUUUGUUGGCGGGGUAACGGCCCACCAAGACUACGAUGGAUAGGGGUUCUGAGAGGAAGGUCCCCCACAUUGGAACUGAGACACGGUCCAAACUCCUACGGGAGGCAGCAGUGAGGAAUAUUGGUCAAUGGGCGAGAGCCUGAACCAGCCAAGUAGCGUGAAGGAUGAAGGCUCUAUGGGUCGUAAACUUCUUUUAUAUGGGAAUAAAGUUUUCCACGUGUGGAAUUUUGUAUGUACCAUAUGAAUAAGGAUCGGCUAACUCCGUGCCAGCAGCCGCGGUAAUACGGAGGAUCCGAGCGUUAUCCGGAUUUAUUGGGUUUAAAGGGAGCGUAGGUGGAUUGUUAAGUCAGUUGUGAAAGUUUGCGGCUCAACCGUAAAAUUGCAGUUGAAACUGGCAGUCUUGAGUACAGUAGAGGUGGGCGGAAUUCGUGGUGUAGCGGUGAAAUGCUUAGAUAUCACGAAGAACUCCGAUUGCGAAGGCAGCUCACUAGACUGUCACUGACACUGAUGCUCGAAAGUGUGGGUAUCAAACAGGAUUAGAUACCCUGGUAGUCCACACAGUAAACGAUGAAUACUCGCUGUUUGCGAUAUACAGUAAGCGGCCAAGCGAAAGCAUUAAGUAUUCCACCUGGGGAGUACGCCGGCAACGGUGAAACUCAAAGGAAUUGACGGGGGCCCGCACAAGCGGAGGAACAUGUGGUUUAAUUCGAUGAUACGCGAGGAACCUUACCCGGGCUUAAAUUGCAACAGAAUAUAUUGGAAACAGUAUAGCCGUAAGGCUGUUGUGAAGGUGCUGCAUGGUUGUCGUCAGCUCGUGCCGUGAGGUGUCGGCUUAAGUGCCAUAACGAGCGCAACCCUUAUCUUUAGUUACUAACAGGUUAUGCUGAGGACUCUAGAGAGACUGCCGUCGUAAGAUGUGAGGAAGGUGGGGAUGACGUCAAAUCAGCACGGCCCUUACGUCCGGGGCUACACACGUGUUACAAUGGGGGGUACAGAAGGCGGCUACCUGGUGACAGGAUGCUAAUCCCAAAAACCUCUCUCAGUUCGGAUCGAAGUCUGCAACCCGACUUCGUGAAGCUGGAUUCGCUAGUAAUCGCGCAUCAGCCAUGGCGCGGUGAAUACGUUCCCGGGCCUUGUACACACCGCCCGUCAAGCCAUGAAAGCCGGGGGUACCUGAAGUACGUAACCGCAAGGAGCGUCCUAGGGUAAAACUGGUAAUUGGGGCUAAGUCGUAACAAGGUAGCCGUACCGGAAGGUGCGGCUGGAACACCUCCUUU
rnacentral:rRNA from 2 species